rnacentral:rRNA from 1 species
AGUGAACGCUGGCGGUAGGCCUAACACAUGCAAGUCGAACGGCAGCACAGUGAGAGCUUGCUCUUACGGGUGGCGAGUGGCGGACGGGUGAGGAAUACAUCGGAAUCUACUUUUUCGUGGGGGAUAACGUAGGGAAACUUACGCUAAUACCGCAUACGACCUACGGGUGAAAGCAGGGGAUCUUCGGACCUUGCGCGAUUGAAUGAGCCGAUGUCGGAUUAGCUAGUUGGCGGGGUAAAGGCCCACCAAGGCGACGAUCUGUAGCUGGUCUGAGAGGAUGAUCAGCCACACUGGAACUGAGACACGGUCCAGACUCCUACGGGAGGCAGCAGUGGGGAAUAUUGGACAAUGGGCGCAAGCCUGAUCCAGCCAUACCGCGUGGGUGAAGAAGGCCUUCGGGUUGUAAAGCCCUUUUGUUGGGAAAGAAAAGCAGCAGGUUAAUACCCCGCUGUUCUGACGGUACCCAAAGAAUAAGCACCGGCUAACUUCGUG